rnacentral:tRNA from 1 species
GAGGGUGUAGCUCAGUAGUAUAUAGUGUGUGCUUGGCACGCAUGAGGUCCUAGGUUCAAUCCCCAGUACCUACU